rnacentral:rRNA from 1 species
AUUGAACGCUGGCGGCAGGCCUAAUACAUGCAAGUCGAGCGAGAGGCGGACGGGCGAGUAAUGUAUGGGGACGUGGCUGACAGAGGGGGAUAACUACUGGAAACGGUGGCUAAUACCGCAUACUACCGGAUGAACCCAUACGGGAUUAGGGAGUUGGUGAGGGAAAGGCUCACCAAGCCGACGAUCUCUAGCUGGUCUGAGAGGAUGACCGGACACACUGGGACUGAGACACGGCCCAGACUCCUACGGGAGGCAGCAGUGGGGAAUAUUGCGCAAUGGGGGCAACCUGACGCAGCCAUGCCGCGUGAAUGAAGAAGGCCUUCGGGUUGUAAAGUUCUUUCGGUAGCGAGGCGUUAACUACAGAAGAAGCACCGGCUAACUCCGUGCCAGCCGCCGCGGUAAUAC